rnacentral:rRNA from 1 species
AGACCGAUAGCGAACAAGUAGAGUGAUCGAAAGAUGAAAAGCACUUUGAAAAGAGGGUUAAAUAGCACGUGAAAUUGUUGAAAGGGAAGCGUUUGCGACCAGACCUUUUCCAGGGGGAUCAUCCGGUGUUCUCACCGGUGCACUUCCCUUGGUUUAGGCCAGCAUCGGUUUUCUUAGGGGGAUAAAGGCUUAGGGAACGUAGCUCUUUCGGGAGUGUUAUAGCCCUUUGCGUAAUACCCCUCGGGGGACCGAGGACCGCGCUCUGCAAGGAUGCUGGCGUAAUGGUCGUCAACGACCCGUCUUGAAACACGGACCAAGA